rnacentral:rRNA from 1 species
AGAGUUUGAUCAUGGCUCAGAACGUACGCUGGCGGCACGCCUAACACAUGCAAGUCGAACGAAGUAGCAAUACUUAGUGGCAGACGGGUGAGUAACAUGUAGGUAUCUGCCCUUUGGCCUGGAAUAACACGAGGAAACUUGUGCUAAUACCGGAUAAGUCUUUACGGAGAAAGCUUUAUGCACCAUUGGAUGAGCCUGCACUUGAUUAGUUUGUUGGUGGGGUAAUGGCCUACCAAGACUGUGAUCAAUAGCUGAUUUGAGAGGAUGAUCAGCCACAUUGGGACUGAGACACGGCCCAAACUCCUACGGGAGGCAGCAGUAGGGAAUCUUGCACAAUGGGGGAAACCCUGAUGCAGCGAUGCCGCGUGAGUGAAGAAGGCCUUUGGGUUGUAAAACUCUUUCGUCGGGGAAGAAAAUGACUGUACCCGAAUAAGAAGGUCCGGCUAACUUCGUGCCAGCAGCCGCGGUAAUACGAAGGGACCUAGCGUAGUUCGGAAUUACUGGGCUUAAAGAGUUCGUAGGUGGUUAAAAAAGUUGGUGGUGAAAUCCCAGAGCUUAACUCUGGAACUGCCAUCAAAACUUUUCAGCUAGAGUAUGAUAGAGGAAAGCAGAAUUUCUAGUGUAGAGGUGAAAUUCGUAGAUAUUAGAAAGAAUACCAAUUGCGAAGGCAGCUUUCUGGAUCAUUACUGACACUGAGGAACGAAAGCAUGGGUAGCGAAGAGGAUUAGAUACCCUCGUAGUCCAUGCCGUAAACGAUGUGUGUUAGACGUUGGAAAUUUAUUUUCAGUGUCGCAGCGAAAGCGAUAAACACACCGCCUGGGGAGUACGACCGCAAGGUUAAAACUCAAAUGAAUUGACGGGGACCCGCACAAGUAGUGGAGCAUGUGGUUUAAUUCGAAGAUACGCGCAGAACCUUACCAACACUUGACAUGUUCGUCGCGACUCUAAGAGAUUAGAGUUUUCGGUUCGGCCGGACGAAACACAGGUGCUGCAUGGCUGUCGUCAGCUCGUGUCGUGAGAUGUUGGGUUAAGUCCCGCAACGAGCGCAACCCUCACUUUUAGUUGCCAUCAUUAAGUUGGGCACUCUGAAAGAACUGCCAGUGAUAAGCUGGAGGAAGGUGGGGAUGACGUCAAGUCCUCAUGGCCCUUACGUGUUGGGCUACACACGUGCUACAAUGGUAUCUACAACAGGAAGCAAGACUGCGAAGUUAAGCAAAUCCUUAAAAGAUACCUCAGUUCGGAUUGCACUCUGCAACUCGAGUGCAUGAAGCUGGAAUUACUAGUAAUCGCGGAUCAGCGCGCCGCGGUGAAUACGUUCCCGGGUCUUGUACACACCGCCCGUCACACCAUGGGAGUUGGUUCUACCUUAAGGCAAGGUUUUAAACCCUUGACCACGGUAUAGUCAGCGACUGGGGUGAAGUCGUAACAAGGUAGCCGUAGGGGAACCUGCGGCUG